GGAGUUGUAGCUCAGUGGAAGAGCACUUGCCUAGUAUGUGAGAGGAACUGGGUUCAAUUCUCAGCACCA
rnacentral:tRNA from 1 species